rnacentral:rRNA from 1 species
UACAGAGGUCUCAAGCGUUGUUCGGAUUCAUUGGGCGUAAAGGGUGUGUAGGUGGCGCCGUAAGUCGGGUGUGAAAUUUCGGAGCUUAACUCCGAAACUGCAUUCGAUACUGUGGUGCUUGAGGACUGGAGAGGAGACUGGAAUUUACGGUGUAGCGGUGAAAUGCGUAGAUAUCGUAAGGAAGACCAGUGGCGAAGGCGGGUCUCUGGACAGUUCCUGACACUGAGGCACGAAGGCCAGGGGAGCAAACGGG